UUUAUAGACAACAUAAUUUUACUUGAAAAAGAUAAACUUAUAAAAUUUCUUAUCAGUGGGAUCUACAGGCACAAAAUGGUAACAGGGCAAAGUGGUGUGCAUUGAGCUUAAAAAAAUUUAAUGGUCUUGAAGGAGCUCAACUUUUUCAAAGUUCUGAAGAAAAAUGAGUUUUUCCAGGUUAUAGUUAUGUGCCUAAAUUAAUUCCUUUUAUAAUGUAUUUGGUCUUAAAUGGGUCUCUCCUCUUUCUCUAGAAUGUUUGUGUCUCUUUUUCUUCUGUGGUUUUGGUAAGAAUAAGAGGAAAUGUUGCUUUUGAGAGGGGCUCUUUUGUUAGGUUGUGAGUUCUUUGGUUGACUGGAAUGGAAGGCUCUUUAAAGACUGCAUUUUACCUCUUGCUUCUUCCGGACAUAGUUACCUUUUUGGUCUUUCUGGAAAAGACACAUAGGCGUUAUAGAGAUAUCUCUUUUGCUUAUUUUACAAACAUAUUUUGAUGCGGAACCCGGGAUCAACAAUGGAAUUCAAAACCCUGCAUAUACAUUAGCAAUCAGAAAGUCAAAACCCUAAACAAACCCUCCCUACUUGACUCGCACUCAACAGAGGAGUGAAAAUCAAGCUAACUGGGAAAG
rnacentral:lncRNA from 1 species